rnacentral:tRNA from 1 species
GCCGAUGUGGCGGAACUGGCAGACGCGCACGACUCAAAAUCGUGUGCCCUCGGGCAUGUGGGUUCGAUUCCCACCAUCGGCA